AUUGAACGCUGGCGGAAUGCUUUACACAUGCAAGUCGAACGGCAGCACGGACUUCGGUCUGGUGGCGAGUGGCGAACGGGUGAGUAAUGUAUCGGAACGUGCCCAGUCGUGGGGGAUAACGUAGUGAAAAUUACGCUAAUACCGCAUAUGAUCUAUGGAUGAAAGCGGGGGAUCGCAAGACCUCGCGCGAUUGGAGCGGCCGAUAUCAGAUUAGGUAGUUGGUGGGGUAAAGGCCCACCAAGCCAACGAUCUGUAGCUGGUCUGAGAGGACGACCAGCCACACUGGAACUGAGACACGGUCCAGACUCCUACGGGAGGCAGCAGUGGGGAAUUUUGGACAAUGGGCGGAAGCCUGAUCCAGCCAUUCCGCGUGCAGGAUGAAGGCCCUCGGGUUGUAAACUGCUUUUGUACAGAACGAAAAGGUUUCUACUAAUACUAGGAGCUCAUGACGGUACUGUAAGAAUAAGCACCGGCUAACUACGUGCCAGCCGCCGCUGUAA
rnacentral:rRNA from 1 species